UACGAAGGGGGCUAGCGUUGCUCGGAAUCACUGGGCGUAAAGCGCACGUAGGCGGCUUUUUAAGUCAGGGGUGAAAUCCUGGAGCUCAACUCCAGAACUGCCUUUGAUACUGAGAAGCUUGAGUCCGGGAGAGGUGAGUGGAACUGCGAGUGUAGAGGUGAAAUGCGUAGAUAUCGAGAGGAACACCUGCGGCGAAGGCGGGUUGCUGGGCUGAUACCGACGCUGGGGUGCGAAAGCAUGGGGAGCGAACAGG
rnacentral:rRNA from 1 species